CCAUUUGGUUUUGUAUUGACACUGGCUUGGGAUAGAGGAAACUCCUGCAAGGAUCAGAUUGCCAAUCAAGAUCCUGACAAAGGAAGGAAACGAUACACCUUCUGAAAAUGUAAGUAAGUUUGGAUUUACUACAACUGCUCUGCCUCACCUGAAGAUUUUCUUGUGUGUGAUGACAGAAAGAGUGGCUUUAUUGACAGACCAAGGACAAGAGGCUGGGAGCAUCUUCUUGGUCUGGACACAGAUGCUGGCCCAGAUGACUGGAAAUGCUCAGACUGCGUGAGAGUUGGUGUAAAGGAGCCUCUGCAGAUCCUGCCUUUCUCCAGUGACUGAGUCCUCUGGUAAGCCGUCUCCCAGCAGUGCAAAGAGAUGGGGAUCCUCAAGCUGCAGCAGGAGGGAUGGAGCAUGAAACCCUGGUGCCAUGAUGUCCCUGUGCCGCAACGGGCAGUUCCCACCGAAAGCAAAUUAAGAAAAAAAAAGUUUUUUAAGCAAUGUAGGGAAGAUACUGCCGUCAGGCAGGCUAGCAAGAAGACACCAAGGGAAGUUAUCCUCUCUCCAGUGGCCCCUGGGGUGGCAGUUUGCUGGAGAGGUUGC